GGGUUACCCCUACCCCGCUCAAUUUGAGAAUGUUCUAUUAUCUUGUAAACGGUCCAGAUCCCCACCCCUAAACCAUAUAUAUUCUUGUAGGGGACACUAAAAUAAAUGAAAUGAAAUAAAAGGGAAGUCCCUAGGUGGUCACCCCACCCACUCUUGUUUGAAAACUUGUAAACGGUCAAGAUCCCCACCCCUAAACCAUAUAUAUUCUUUUUUAGG
rnacentral:lncRNA from 1 species